rnacentral:rRNA from 1 species
AGCGGAGGAAAAGAAACUAACAAGGAUUCCCCUAGUAACGGCGAGUGAACCGGGAAGAGCUCAAAUUUGAAAUCUGGCGUGCUCAGUGCGUCCGAGUUGUAAUCUAUAGAGUCGUUUUCCGUGCCGGACUGUGUCCAAGUCCCUUGGAACAGGGUAUCAAAGAGGGUGAUAAUCCCGUACUUGACACAAUGACCGGUGCUCUGUGAUACGUCUUCUACGAGUCGAGUUGUUUGGGAAUGCAGCUCAAAAUGGGUGGUGAGUUCCAUCUAAAGCUAAAUAUUGGCGAGAGACCGAUAGCGAACAAGUACCGUGAGGGAAAGAUGAAAAGCACUUUGGAAAGAGAGUUAAACAGUACGUGAAAUUGUUAAAAGGGAAACGAUUGAAGUCAGUCGUGACUGAGAGGCUCAGCCGGUUCUGCCGGUGUAUUCCCCUCAGUCGGGUCAACAUCAGUUUUGUUCGGUGGAUAAGGGCGGUUGGAAGGUGGCACCCUCGGGUGUGUUAUAGCCAACUGUCGCAUACAUCGGAUGAGACUGAGGAAUGCAGCUCGCCUUUAUGGCCGGGGUUCGCCCACGUUCGAGCUUAGGAUGUUGACAUAAUGGCUUUAAACGACCCGUCU